rnacentral:rRNA from 1 species
AGUGAACGCUGGCGGUAGGCCUAACACAUGCAAGUCGAACGGCAGCACAGUAAGAGCUUGCUCUUACGGGUGGCGAGUGGCGGACGGGUGAGGAAUACAUCGGAAUCUACUUUUUCGUGGGGGAUAACGUAGGGAAACUUACUCUAAUACCGCAUACGACCUACGGGUGAAAGCAGUGGAUCUUCUGACCUUGCGCGAUUGAAUGCGCCGAUGUCGGAUUAGCUAGUUGGCGGGGUAAAGGCCCACCAAGGCGACGAUCCGUAGCUGGUCUGAGAGGAUGAUCAGCAACACUGGAACUGAGACACGGUCCAGAGUCCUACGGGAGGCAGCAGUGGGGAAUAUUGGACAAAGGGCGCAAGCCUGAUCCAGCCAUACCGCGUGGGUGAAGAAGGCCUUCGGGUUGUAAAGCCCUUUUGUUGGGAAAGAAAAGCAGCAGGUUAAUACCCCGCUGUUCUGACGGUACCCAAAGAAUAAGCACCGGCUAACUUCGUG